rnacentral:rRNA from 1 species
AAACCAACAGGGAUUGCCUUAGUAACUGCGAGUGAAGCGGCAAAAGCUCAAAUUUGAAAUCUGGCUUCGGUCCGAGUUGUAAUUUGUAGAAGCAAUUUUUGAACUAGUCCUUGCAUAUGUUCCUUGGAACAGGACAUCAUAGAGGGUGAGAAUCCCGUUCAUGGUGGGGAAUCUAGUUCUCUGUAAAAUGCUUUCGACGAGUCGAGUUGUUUGGGAAUGCAGCUCUAAGUGGGUGGUAAAUUCCAUCUAAAGCUAAAUAUUGGCGAGAGACCGAUAGCGAACAAGUACAGUGAUGGAAAGAUGAAAAGUACUCCGAAAGGAGAGUGAAACAGCACGUGAAAUUGUUAAAAGGGAAGUGCUUGAGAUCAGUGAUAGAGUUUAGUGAUCAACUUUCCUUUUGGUUUGUGCACUUGCUAUUCUCUAGGCCAGCAUCAGUUUGUGAGCUAGGAUAAUUGCAUAGGAAUGUGGCUGUUUCGGCAGUGUUAUAGCCUGUGUCGAUACUAUUUUGCAGACUGAGGACCGCGCUUUUGCUAGGAUGUUGGCAUAAUGAUCUUAAGCAGC